GCCGGCAUAGCUCAAUUGGCAGAGCAGCCGCCUUGUAAGCGGCAGGUUAGGGGUUCAAGUCCCCUUGCCGGCUCUA
rnacentral:tRNA from 1 species